rnacentral:snRNA from 1 species
CGACUUUCCCGGUACAGGAGGAACCUUGAUCAGCAGAGAGGUUCUCCACGGAUGAGGCUUUUGAAUAGCAUCUAGCAUUGGCUCACCCCCUGCAAUGACUCCUGUGGGCAUUUUCGAUCAGCAACGUUUAUCACAUCUGACUUAACGUCGCACUCUUUUGCUAAAGGUAAGGGUGACUCGAGUACGUAUUUUUACAGUGUGGGAGACUGCGUUCGCGCAUUCACCUG